AACGAACGCUGGCGGCGUGCCUAACACAUGCAAGUCGAGCGCGAACGUUCCUUCGGGAAUCAGUAGAGCGGCGCACGGGUGAGUAACACGUGGGUAAUCUGCCCUCAGGUCUGGAAUAACCCAGGGAAACUUGGGCUAAUGCUGGAUGAGACCGUUGUACGAGAGUGCAUCGGGGAAAGCAGGGGCCUCCUUCGGGAGCCUUGCGCCAGAGGAUGAGCCCGCGGCCCAUCAGCUAGUUGGCGGGGUAAUGGCCCACCAAGGCGAAGACGGGUAGCUGGUCUGAGAGGAUUACCAGCCACACUGGAACUGAGACACGGUCCAGACUCCUACGGGAGGCAGCAGUGGGGAAUAUUGCGCAAUGGACGAAAGUCUGACGCAGCAACGCCGCGUGAGUGAUGAAGGUCCUCGGAUCGUAAAGCUCUGUCGGCAGGAACGAGGGUCAUCCGGGCCAAUACCCCGGGUGGCUGACGGUACCUGCAAAGGAAGCACCGGCUAACUCUGUGCCAGCCGCCGCAGUAAU
rnacentral:rRNA from 1 species